UAAACGUGGGUAACUGCCCAUAAGACUGGGAUAACUCCGGGAAACCGGGGCUAAUACCGGAUAACAUUUUGAACCGCAUGGUUCGAAAUUGAAAGGCGGCUUCGGCUGUCACUUAUGGAUGGACCCGCGUCGCAUUAGCUAGUUGGUGAGGUAACGGCUCACCAAGGCAACGAUGCGUAGCCAACCUGAGAGGGUGAUCGGCCACACUGGGACUGAGACACGGCCCAGACUCCUACGGGAGGCAGCAGUAGGGAAUCUUCCGCAAUGGACGAAAGUCUGACGGAGCAACGCCGCGUGAGUGAUGAAGGCUUUCGGGUCGUAAAACUCUGUUGUUAGGGAAGAACAAGUGCUAGUUGAAUAAGCUGGCACCUUGACGGUACCUAACCAGAAAGCC
rnacentral:rRNA from 1 species